UGAUUAGUUUCACCUGUGUCACCAGAGUAUUUAGACUCUGUGUCCCCUGUUGCUCUGUUUUGUUUCCCGGUGUUCUCCUGGUGUUCCUACCUGCUCAUCGCCUCCUUUUUUCAUCACUUUAUCCAUUAAGGGUUCCUCUUUACCUGCCCUUGGACAAGAGCAAAGAGAUGAGUCUGAGCUUUCUCUGGUUCCACAUUUACAACCUGAUGACCACACAAACUCUAACUUUCCCAGAAACCAUCUGGGCAGUUACACAGCCAUUCAUUCGAGUCCAGCAGCUUCUCACACUUUCCGUUGUUCUUACAGGGAUUAGGAGUGCAGAGGGUUGUCCAGGCAGAAUUUUACAGCUGAUAUCUGAGCCUUGGAGACGGUCUUGAACAUCUUGGUUUGUUCAGCUUCUUUGUCUGAUGGGUUAAAUCCAAUCAGAUUCCAGUAGAGCUGGUUGAGUACCAUCCCCCUCCACAGCAAGCUGCUGAAAUAUAUGUUAAAUUUACCGAUCUCACCAAUGUUACAUUUAAACUUCUUCCUCAGCAGGUCGUUGAGGUUUCCACUGAGAGACGUGCUGCUGACUGUCAGGCGUUGAGGAUGCGGACCUCAUCUUGAGAAUAGACGCUGGCGUAGCUGAACCAUUCUACAUCUGUUGCCAGGUUGGAGAUCUGGAUGGAAAGAAGGUCCAGUUUCCUGUUCACCUCAGCAAACCCUUCCUUCAACGGGUCACGCUGAGGGAUAAAAACCAAGACCAACAUAAUGAUUGAAGAGACAAGACCUCCGAUGACGGGCGCCAAGCUGGCAAAGCCAGAGAUCCCCUUCAACACAUCUGCUAUUUUGCAGGAUUCUCUUGAACCUGUCGAGGGCUGAGAGAUCGGUGGAGGUGAAGUCAUGUGACUGAGCAGAGGAGGUCGACCAGUAAAGAAGAAGGAUCAGUGAAGCCAACAGCAUGGAGGUAGACCACCGUGGAGACGCCAUGACUGCAACACAGAUAACAUAACAAUGGAUAUUUUCCUUAAUGCUGUACAUUGAAGAGUAACUCACCCUCCCUUCACAACCUGCUGUUUUCUAGAAGUUUUCCUUAUUCAAACUGACGGACUGAGAGUUUUGUUUGGUGCACAGACUGUGAUUCUGUCCAGGACAAAUUUGUGAAACUGGGCCAUAAAACCAGCUCAGUAUCCUGCUAAUGAAGCCCAUAUUGGACAGUUCAUUAAGAUUUACAUCAUGUCUUUUGAUGGAUGUGUACGUCUAACCUUGUUUCCUCUGAUCGGUCAGCUGUCGAAAGAGUCCUGGUUUUAUCUGAACACAGUUUAAAUGUGUGUUUGACCCUGUUUGUACCUGAAAGUAACAUGUGACGCCAGACUCCUGUUCUAUAUGCAAAUAAACAUGUUGGAAUAUAGAAGGAGGGAGGGAGGUGUGAGGGAGAUGGGGAGAGGGAGGGGAGGGAGAAACUAACCUGAACAUCAAUAAUCUUUGGUAAUAUUUGGUCAGAAAAAUUUUUGAACUUUAUCAAAACAACAUUUUCAGAACAAAGUUUAAAUGAUGUGUUGUAGAAACGACUGUGGAAAAUGUUUUUGUGAGAAAAACAUUAACAUUUAAAUAUGGAACAUUUUCACAUCAUUGGAUGAACACUGUGAAGUAAUGACACAGUUCAUGACUGUGGACAGAGCCUGGACAGGUUAAUAACAUCACAGCCUCAUUAUACUGACCUCACUGGUGUGUAACAUCUUUUCUCUGUAAGCUGACUGUAUGAAGCAGGUGAUGACAAAUGGUUCUCUAACUAUAACCAACAUUAAUAUUCCAUUGAUUUUAAAUGAUCAAACAAAGAUCAGGUUUAGUUUUACUUUAGUUUUAGUUUCUGUCUUAUGAAAACGAUCCUUGAAGGACCAGAGACCAGUGAAAUGCAGCAUUUUUAUAUCAAGUUCUCAUUCAACAGUAUUUAAUAUUUGUCCCAUAUAGCAGAACAAAGGAGUCAUGAACAGAGGGGCAACAAGUGGUAAAAGAAGUGAACAACCUGUGGUCAGUCAUGGAAAACCAGAAUCACAAUCAAAAAACCUGAAAUUUCCACUACACAAGUGGAACAAUGAGGUCGAUCUGUGUCAAACCAGACAGAAUCCAGGAAAGAGAUUUCAGCACAUCUCAGGUUUUGAUCAGUUUAAAUCUUUAAUGUUCAGGUCCCAAAAAUUAGGCCUGUAAAAUAUGUUUGGACUGUCACAUGUUUAAAAUUAUUAUUCACAGCCUUAACAACCUUUGUAGGAUGGAAGACAAACAUAUUCUCAGUUUGACUGAACCAUUAACAGAUUGUACUGCAGCCUAUUGAUUUUCUAUAGAGCCGCAGAUUUGAGAGUGAUACUGAA